AGCUCAACAUGAAUGCAUCACUGAGAAGCACAGAGAAAUGAUAGUGAAUAUAAUGAGACCAGCAACUACUUCAAGGUUCAAUGGCAACAAGGAAGCAUUAUGAAGUUCAGGGGUCAAAGAAUGAUUGAUGAGAAAGACCUACUCCAGAAGUCUCUACAGGGAAUGACUAAGACCAGGAAAUAUGUGAAUGAAGACUACUCAGACCAACAUUUUUCACCAUAUAUUAUACAAAAGCCAUACUCUAAAGAUGCAUUGGAAACAUUAUGGACGGUGCCAUCUCUUCCACCAGCAGAUUCCUCAAGACAGUCGUCACUAUACUUGCUGAUGUCUCUUUCCUGUGUAGCAGCAGACACCAUCUGCAGAUAAGAAAUGCUUAACUGAGAAAUGCUCAUGUUGGGAUAUCAUCGAUGAAACUUUAAUUUGUUAAAGGCUUGAAGAGGUACUUAUGCUUGGGGGAAAACAGGAUGUAGGAGGAGUUCUUGCAUUGGCCACUUCCCACCUCUUCAACUCUUAUGUCUUCAAGAAUUGGUCUACAGAGCUCACAGAGAUAUCAUCUGGACGGCUGAAGAGUACAUUUGUGCAAGGGUGUCAAGCAAUCCAUAAAGUGCCAAGCUGAGGUUUAAGUGACCACUU